UACAGAGGUCCCGAGCGUUUGUUCGGAUUCAUUGGGCGUAAAGGGUGCGUAGGCGGUCUGCUAAGUUUGAUGUGAAAUCCCGGGGCUCAACCCUGGAAUUGCAUUGAAUACUGGUGGACUAGAGUACUGGAGAGGAAACUGGAAUUUACGGUGUAGCAGUGAAAUGCGUAGAGAUCGUAAGGAAGACCAGUGGCGAAGCGAGUUUCUGGACAGUAACUGACGCUGAGGCACGAAGGCCAGGGGAGCAAACGGGG
rnacentral:rRNA from 1 species